GAUGAACGCUGGCGGCGUGCCUAAUACAUGCAAGUCGAGCGAACGGACGAGAAGCUUGCUUUUCUGAUGUUAGCGGCGGACGGGUGAGUAACACGUGGAUAGCCUACCUAUAAGACUGGGAUAACUUCGGGAAACCGGAGCUAAUACCGGAUAAUAUUUUGAACCGCAUGGUUCAAAAGUGAAAGAUGGUCUUGCUGUCACUUAUAGAUGGAUCCGCGCUGCAUUAGCUAGUUGGUAAGGUAACGGCUUACCAAGGCAACGAUGCAUAGCCGACCUGAGAGGGUGAUCGGCCACACUGGAACUGAGACACGGUCCAGACUCCUACGGGAGGCAGCAGUAGGGAAUCUUCCGCAAUGGGCGAAAGCCUGACGGAGCAACGCCGCGUGAGUGAUGAAGGUCUUCGGAUCGUAAAACUCUGUUAUUAGGGAAGAACAUAUGUGUAAGUAACUGUGCACAUCUUGACGGUACCUAAUCAGAAAGCCACGGCUAACUACGUG
rnacentral:rRNA from 1 species